GCGGACGUGGUGGAACUGGUAUACACAGCAGACUUAAAAUCUGCCGCCGCAAGGCAUACGGGUUCAAGUCCCGUCGUCCGCACCA
rnacentral:tRNA from 1 species